AAGGGGGGACCAACUCCAUAUUAAUGCUCAUGAUUUUGGAAUGAGAUGUUCGAAAGCAGGUGUCCACAUACUUUUUAUCAUGUAGUCUCUGUCAAAGCGAGAACCUUGAAGCCCAGCAAGAAGGUUGGAGCUGGUGCUCAUCAUUCAGGUAACAAUACAAACACACACAUCAAAUCUCACAUCAAACCAAUAACUCAUUUACAACUGGUUUGUAAUUGAAAUAAAUAAUUUAGAAAGUAUAAAAAUACAAUUAACAGACACCUUAGUCAUUAUUUUAUUAUAUUAAACAAAAUAUGUUGUUACAGUGUUUAUGAAAAUAGUGUUUGGUGGAAAUGUUUGUUUGUGCUUUUCUAAUAACCAAUUUCUCUGUUCUAUUUAUGUGCUUGUCUAAUAACCAAUUUCUCUGUUCUAUUAAUGUGCUUUUCUAAUAGCCAAUUUCUGUGAUCAUGAGUGACUCAUUGAACAAAUCCUAACUAUCAGUAUCUGCAAUUUGGCAGUACGGUACGUCCAGAACCUUGUUUUGAGAAAGUGAUAUCUUUCUCAGUUCUGCUUCUCUCAGUUUCAAGAGAGAAGCAGCCUAGUGAGGUAUUAGUCUGUCACAUGCAUGACCCAGUAUUGGUCGGUCACAUGAAGGAAGUAAAUGUUAAUGAUGAAUUAAAUAUGAAUGAUGAAUAAGCUAAAUCAUGCAAAUAUAACUUGUCUGUAUAUAAGAUAACUAACAGGACUGCCCCGCGUAGAGCUCCUGAUCGACAUGUGUACUUUGUGCAUUGAGUUGGUUGGACCCUCUCCAGCGCGCUGAUAAUAAAGAAUUUCUCAUUUAAGAUUGUCUUCGAGUGUCCCUGUGUAGGACUUCCACAAUUGUUUAUGAAUAGCUUACUAACAUUUAAACAUUUAGAAAUAAUGAUUAAUACAUGAUUAAUACACGUUGAAUUAACUAUUUCUAAUCCAAUAUCAAUGCUUUAUUACCAGGUGUUAUUAUAAAGUYCUACCAAUUAUGGCAGUUUUUUCAAUUUCCUUAAAAGUUUCUGUUUUUAAGAUAAGAUGUUUUCAUCUGAUAGCGACGCAAUGCAAACACAGAGCAGAUGUACAGUUACCAGCUUCUAUGUGUCAAUGUCAGGGGGACUGGAGACAGGGGCCAUGUUGAACUGCCUGUCCAAAUAUGUCUGCAUCUUCCUCCUGCUGGCCCUGUCAGGCCUCUUCUUCCUCUUCCGCAACAUCAACGUUCUGGAGUGGAAGCUCAACUGCACCUUGGAUGUGUGUAGCAUCCACUCAAUGGGCCCUAUUCUCCUGGACCGCAAGCGCUGCUUCUGUAGCGGGGGACCAGCUGGAGGCUCUUGUCAUUGUGAACGAGUUCCAGGGGUGACCCAAGAGCCAUGGUGGGGACGUCCUGCUGGCCCAACUGCACUCCCCACAGUUGGGGGUGGGCAUUGCAGGGCAGGUGCUAGACCACCGGAACCAGACCUACUCUACCAUUUUUCCAUUACUGUGAGAGGGGUUUGUACAGGUGGAGGUGACAGUGGUCCCACCAAGUGAGGCAGUUCAUGUUUUACGACACUUAGGUGAGGAACGGACAGACCGGAUUCUUUACAAGAGCCUAUUCCGUUCUGGAUUACUGUCUGAGACCACCAUGUGUAACUUGUGCCUGCCGACCAACCAGCAGCCGCCUGUACUGCUACAAGCCCAAGCAGCUGCUGAGCUGUGACACGCGGAUCAACCACUUCAGGGCAGGCUACAAGAAAGAUCUGAUAACCAACAAAGAAGCAUUGCUCUUCCAGAGAUAAAGAGAGCUAUGAAAGCCUGUCUAUAAAUGAAGAGGUCCUGGGGACUCCAAGGGGUGCACAUUUUUGUUUUUGUUUUAGCACUGCACAGCUGAUUCAAAUGAUCAACUCAUCAUCAAGCUUCAAGUGAUACCUUGUAACUGGAGAUUCCUUCAAAGCGAUUGCUUACAGUUAACGUGUAGGGCACUGCAAGGUUGGGUGACCAGGGCCAUCUGGGCCUGCCUCCUGGAGGAAUUCCGGUGUGUGAAAGCUACCUGUGUCCUGCAUAACUUCAUGAGGAUGGACACGAGGCCCAGGAGGGGAUAUGCAGCCGCCGUGUGCCAGAGAAGUCUGCAGGAUGUUUCAAGUAUGGGGUUAUAUCAGCUGUGUCGGUGAAACCCUCCCACAUCUGAACUGGCUACAUAGAGGGCACAGCAUGAUCAGAAGUGAGAGGUCACAAGAUGUUUUUAUGUGAGAGAGGAUGCCAACCCCCAGUCCCAUCAUCGCCGCCUCAACUUUCGUGCCGACUAGACACUUAUGUAAUUGUGAUGAACUGAGAGAAUAUUUGGGUAGCACUAAUCAUUAAUCAUAUGCUGCCUUCCCUGC